CCCUCUUCCCCCAAUCAUUCAUUCAUUCAUGUUUCUCUGAAGCAAAGAAACUCUAGCCGGCUAGCCCUCCAUCGUCGCCGCCUAACCCAAGUCCUUGGCGCCACCGCCGUCCCAGGUCCUCAGCACUGCCGCUUCUUCCUCUUCCCCGUGUCCGGAACCCAGUAACUCGGCAGGUUCGUCUUCGGCUCUUCAUCUUAGCUGGCUUCUCGGCACGGACCCAGGUUUAGUGUGAUUAUUGGUUAAUGUUUUGUAAUGUUCGGUGCAGAAUGCUGAUUGUUGAGUUCAGAUAUGGUUGUUUAUUUUGAUUUGGGUAAAGAGACUUAUGGUCAUUUUUUCCUGCCUUAUACCAAUUUAGAUGAUUAUUUUCAGAGGAUGAGCACUUAUUAUGUAUCUUGAGAAACUGUCUUUGUGUGUUAUGAGCAUUUGGUGAAGCCUGUAUUGUACCUAUUCAAAGUUUAGUUUCACUAAAUGAUCUUCAAAGCAACUCAUCCAAAAUGCUGCUACACAAACCCACGUCUAUUGUCUCUUAAAGCCUAUAUGCACUUUCAUUUGGUGAAAGCCUUUCUAGCACUAGUCCACUACCAACGUUGUUAUUAAUAAUGUUAUCAAAUUUAUUUAUCCAAGUACUAUGUUUAUUUUUUAGUUGGAUUUAUAAUAAUUCAUUUGAUA